rnacentral:rRNA from 1 species
UACCCGACCGGCCAAUCCUCCCGAGGAUUGUUCACGGUUACCGCAGUCGACCUCUGGCCGCCGCCGCUCAUGUGCGUCCUGCCGUGCUGCCUGGAGACGCCGUUGGGCCAGUAGGCUAGGUUGGCUCCUCCGACCUUUCGGACGAGGAAGCAAGAACACAUGCUCCACAAGCUCGCCUACCGCGUGAUACCGUAGCGCAGGUUGGACCACGACAUGGACUGCUCCCUCGACGUGCUCCCGUGCCACGCGAGGCGGUUGUUGCAGUGGUUGACCCGGCCGUGGUCGGAGUAGUGCGGGCAGGAGCCGCGGAUGUAGCGGCUGCGGGUGGAGCCUGCGAUGGCGUGGAAGUACCGGCGGAGGCGGUAGAUGGAAGAGCCUUACACGGACGACUGGUACCGGCACAGCGACGGCAGCGACUUCGGCGGCCGCACGCCGUGGCCGUGCCGCCUGGGCUCGACGCUCGCGUUCCGCAGCUCGGACGUCGACCCGCACAAGAAAGACCGGGACAUGUGGGAGCGGCAGCCGUGUCCGCCGUGGUUCGGGUUGUAGAGGUGGUAGCCGCGGCUGGUCAAGCUGUUCGUGCUCGGCGCCCUCGCGGCCGUCUUCGAGAGGAAGAAGUUGACCACCUACAAGUCGUAGAAGGAUCCGUGCGAGAAGCGGUUGUGGCAGGAGCAGAUGUAGGUCCUGUUCUAGCCGACCUGGCAGCCGAUGCGCGAGGGGUGGUAGCCGGAGCGGCAGAGGUAGCGGCACAAGUGGCGGCCUUGCGGGGACAUGGCGGUGUUCGGCUGGAGUGGGCUCUCGAGGGAGCGGUUCUACCGGCCCCAGUAGCAGCGGCGGCAGGCGUUCACGGCGCAGGGCCGCGGGCGCCUGGGCGCGCUGGACGUGCUCGAGCUGGGGCUCGUGAUGCUGUCCUUUUUCUGCAGGAGCGACGGGGUGUGCGGCUUAAAGUCACACGACUCGUUUCGCCGCCACUCCUGGCCCUGGCCCUCGUGCAGCGCCACCAGCGACUCGUGCCACUGCGUCCACUUCCUCUGCUUCGUCUACGAGUUCUACGAAGGGCACGACAAGUAGUGCAAGCACGGCUCGCGCUACGACCGGGUCUAGUUGUGCGACAAGCACUUCGUCCCGUGCUGCGACCUCGCCGCGCAGCCGCCGAAGCUGUAGGGCGGCCGCUCGGACGUCCCCAAGCACUGGCAGAGGUACGAGCAGAGGCAGCACGAGAUGCUGGCGGAGAAGCACGGGACGUGCGCCGCGGACUGUUUCUUGGGCGCCCCGUAGAGCGACGAGGUCGCCUACCCGCAGCCCGAGCAGGAGGUGUAGCGCUAGUACCACCAGCGCAGCCGCUGACUCGCCGCGGCGGACCGGCACCGCGCGCUCUUGCCGCACGAGCUGUCGUCCCCGUGCUACCAGGGCGAGAGGUAGAAGCACGACGAGGGCGUCAAGCACAAGUACCCGCAGCGGCUGCGGAAGGACCUCCACCGGUUCUAGCUCAAGAAGAUGCUGGUCCGCGGGCUCCCCUACUUCUCGGAGCCGUGCAGGAUGCGGUACUAGUCGGAGCCGCAGCCGUUGAAGGAGUCGUCGAAGGACGACAGCUGCCACAGCGCGCAGUGCGCCGCCGCGCCUCCUCCUGUACCUCCGACCUAGGUCUUGUUGGAGUUGCGGAGCGCCGACCUGGAGAUGAUGCGGAAGAAGCGGCACGAGUUGACGCGGUUGGAGGAGCAGAAGAAGCGGCACACGGCCUACAUGCACAUAUUGCGCCUGUAGCGACUGCCACCGUUCCUCUUCGUCCCCUCCGGUCCUUACCACUUCCUCGGUUGGCAUGGUCGAUGUCUCAUC